GUCAUCUCUGUGUCCACACAUCCUGCCAUAUCUGAUUAAAACAAAUCCCGGCUACCUAAUUAAAACAGUAUGUCAUUGUGUGUCCCAUUUGUGGGCAUGCCCAUAACAACGACACACAGAGUCACUGGUCCCCUCAUGUGUGUUUAGACAACAUGUCACUUUGCAUCACAAAAACACCCAGUGAUGUCAGAGGCGCCGUGCAUCAUAAUGACGCUCCUGGUAUCCAAGAGACCUCAAUUCGCUGCUCAGUCACUGUCCCUGCGGUGAGAACUGGUGGCUGGAUCGGAGCCUCCAGCUGAAGGGAACCUGAUUACAUCUAGAUUGACCCCUAUUGUGUGACAGCUAAUGACCCAGUUAACCUCUGGCAAAUGCUCUGACAAAAAUGAACUAGAAGCCACAAUAAAGUCGUCAGAUGCUUGAACUUGGACAUCAAAUCCCAUUGAAUGAAGCGACAGAUGCAGACCUGCGACCACUGUGCUGUUUGGGAGCCGUUCAGAUGCCACGAGAGGCGUCGUCAUUGGUAACGCGUUUUAAAACUGGUGAACGACCCUCAUGAAGUCGUGAACAAAACAAAGCACCACCUCAAUUUACACCAUGGUUUCCUUCCUGAAAAACUCGGGAUAUUUUAAAACAGUGGGAAAAAAAUAUUUUUGUGUCUGUGUAAAAUGGAAUUUGGUUCUGGCUCAGGUCAUUUGAAGCAGCUUUUUCAUCUAUGUGAACAUCCAGAGGGGCAUUCAACAUUAGUGCCAGUGCCUGAAGAUCAAGUAGAGUGGUGGGCUGUGGAGGGCGAGCCCAGAAUCAGUCCCUGAGGCGGGUGUCGGUGUCCCGUUUCCAGACGGCGAAAUGAAGCCAGAGAGAGGAAGAAGUUCACCGAGGAGCAUCUCCUCAAUAGAUCACGUGCAAAAGGUCUCCGUCAUAGGCUCUGCUUCUAGAGCACUGACCUAAUGUCGGGUCAAGAUGGAAACCAAAAGACCACUUAGGAGACAACGGCAAUAAUCAGGGUAUCCCAUCCAAAUGGCAGAUCGAAAGAUCACUUACUGGGAAGUCAAAGAACAUGGAUUCCAGUCUUGUGUCUACAACGAGCUCUCUGGAUAACGUUGAAUGAGUCCCAUCCCGUCCCCGGGCCUCAGUUUCCUCAUCUGUCACCCACCAGAAGAAACCAUGUGGUUUGUGCUGAGCAUCUGCUUUCCUUCUGCGUGUCUGGAAUCUUGGCUGAGCAGAGGACACCUACAUGACCAGCCCCCAGCAAAUGCCAUGGGCUCUGAGUCUCUAAGGAGCUUCCCUGGUAGACAACACUUCCCACCUGUUGGGUCUCCCUGCGCCCUGCACCCCACAGCUCAAGCUGCGCUUCCACACUACAGGGUGACAGGCAGCGCUGUGACCACUUUCCAGAAGCUUCUUUCCUUUAAGGCAAUGAGGAGCUGCUGGAAUUGCUGUCUCGGUAGUUCCAAUCAUUGCUCAUUCUUGCUCAGCACAAAAUCAACCUCAGGAUUGACACGGCUGUGCCUGAAAGAGUUUUUUAUGCUAAACACCAGACGUAAACACAGCCCAGUAGACCAUGGAGUCCGGCCUGGAUUUACGCGUAUGACGUGGGGGAACAGGCAGAGAAAGGGCUGCACUGGUGUCUACACUCAACUUCUAUCCUU
rnacentral:lncRNA from 1 species